rnacentral:tRNA from 1 species
GGAGGUUACAGGGUAACUGGUGUGCCUCGCGGUCUUCAAAAUCGUUGUGUGGGUCAAAAGCUCAUAGAUGGGUUCGAUUCCCAUUAACCUCCGCCA